rnacentral:rRNA from 1 species
AUUGAACGCUGGCGGCAGGCCUAACACAUGCAAGUCGAACGGAGUGGCGAACGGGUGAGUAACACGUGGGUGAGCUGCCCUGCACUUCGGGAUAAGACUGGGAAACUGGGUCUAAUACCGGAUAGUGUGGGAUGGGCCCGCGGCCUAUCGGCUUGUUGGUGGGGUAAGGGCCUACCAAGGCGGGGGGGGGUAGCCGGCCUGAGGGGGUGGACGGCCGCAUUGGGACCGAGGCACGGCCGAGACUCCUACGGGAGGCAGCAGUGGGGAAUAUUGCACAAUGGGCGGAAGCCUGAUGCAGCAACGCCGCGUGGGGGAUGACGGCCUUCGGGUUGUAAACUCCUUUCACCAUCGACGAGGUAGAUGGAGAAGAAGCACCGGCUUACUACGUGCCAGCAGCCGCGGUAAUAC